rnacentral:rRNA from 1 species
UACGGGGGUGCAAGCGUUGUUCGGAAUUACUGGGCGUAAAGGGCGCGUAGGCGGUUCGCUAAGUUGAAUGUGAAAACUCUGGGCUUAACCCAGAGCCUGCAUUCAAUACUGGCGGGCUAGAGUUCUGGAGGGGAUAGCGGAAUUCCUGGUGUAGCGGUGAAAUGCGUAGAUAUCAGGAGGAACACCGGUGGCGAAGGCGGCUAUCUGGACAGAGUCUGACGCUGAGGCGCGAAAGCUAGGGGAGCAAACAGG